GACGUAGGGCGCGAGCGUUGUCCGGAUUUAUUGGGCGUAAAGAGCUCGUAGGCGGCUUGUCACGUCGGGUGUGAAAGCCCGGGGCUUAACCCCGGGUCUGCAUUCGAUACGGGCAGGCUGGAGUGUGGUAGGGGAGAUCGGAAUUCCUGGUGUAGCGGUGAAAUGCGCAGAUAUCAGGAGGAACACCGGUGGCGAAGGCGGAUCUCUGGGCCAUUACUGACGCUGAGGAGCGAAAGCGUGGGGAGCGAACAGG
rnacentral:rRNA from 1 species